GCCUGUUUGGGUUUGUGGCGCUUGCUUGGCAGUAUUUAAAUGUUGAUUUUCUUGUCUUCCUCCGGAGUGCAUUUCUGUGCUUGUCCACGAGAGGUCCCCACAGGCUCCAAACUGGGUUUCAUCGGACUCGGCGCCUCAACGAGCGCGGAGUGCGGAGUGCGGAGGCCCCGCCGGAGCGCAGGGCGUGAUGACGUCACGAGGAGCCGGGCGGGUUUCUGCCCAAACUCUGUUUGCCCGCUGCUGAGUCGCCUUCCCGACCCACGAGGCUCACGUUCAACGGCCGCCCAGUGCGUCCCGCGCGAGGGAAGAAAAGCUGCGAACGAGGGAGGUGGAGCUAGGCUGUUGGGCUUAAAAUAAAACCGAACCAUGGGAUCCAGCCUUCCUUAUCAGGGCUCGGGAAUGGAUAACAGGACUUUUGAGUCAUCACUGGAAUAAACUCAUUAAAGCCUCUUCAUAACGCCGUAUCUGUAACUGGAGGUGGGCGAGAAUGGCAAAGGAAAAAAACAGUUCUAGAGUUGAGCAGAAAUGAGCACGGAUUAAGAAUCUGGAGACCCGAGUCUCUGGAGAGAGCUCUGCUAGGAGCCUGCAGCGUGGCCCUGGAGAAGUACCUUCUCUCUCUGGGCCAGGAGCGCAUCUGGAGGAAGCGGAGCUGGGUGAGCUCCCGCACGCCCUCUAGUGGCCAAACUCAGUUUUACCAUCGUUGUCAUCCUUCGACCCUCAGAGGCCUCUCUGUCGGUUGGGGAAGGAACCCUUUCUCAUGGACGUGGCAAGCAACUGCUGUUGCUCCUUGUUCAGCUCUGCGGUGGGUAAAGAGAAGGAGACAGCAGGAGGGGCAAGGGCAUACUCUCCCUCUGGUGGGCAGGGGAUUGUAGUGCAGCUCAGGGAGCUGGAACUAACACGUAUGUGUGCAUGUGUGUGUGUAUGUGUGUGUAUGUGCGGGGGGGGCAGCAGAUUCACUCUUAAUACUCCGGGAGAGAAGAGAGAAGGUUCCUUGAAAGAUGUCUCCUCUUUCUUUUAGGAAAAAUAGAUGAGGAGGAGGUGGGCUUGCCCCUCUUGCUUUUUCCUUGGAGGAGGGGACGACGGGGUUUGGACGCUGAUUCACUCUGCCUGUAGCUUGGUAUGAGAGCCAGCUUCACGAGCAUGCAACCUGUCAAGUUGCCCAUGGCCCCAUGCUUGGUUUAAUGUUGAAUAAUUCUUAGUACUUUUUAAACAAGGAGCCCUGUAUUUUCAUCUGGCGCUGGGAACCCAUAGAUUAUGUUGCAGGUCCUGCUUGUUACCAUUGGGCCUAACCCAUUAGCCCCAUCAGGGGCUGACCCCAUGCCCACUCCUGACUCCCCCACGGAGAGCCCCCGGCAGGGAGCGGACCUAUCCAGCCAGCACGAGAUCGAGUUUCCUGGAAAUCUCCCGCAGCCAUUGGAGGACUGAGUCCUCGGCCCCACCCCUCGGACUCCAUCAACCACUAGAUCUAGGGCCUGACCCACUUGGCAGAGAGAUGAGGAGUGAUCAGCUAGCUACUCCUGCAGUUAGAGAAAAGGGGCUCCCUGGGAGAGGGGGAGCAGGUCUCCCGGUUCGGAGUGGGGACUCCCUUAGGAAAGGGGUCCAGUCUCUCCCUUAGCCUAAAGAAGACUCCUUGGAGCGGACUGUCGUGCGGACUGCCGUGCGGGCUGAGAUGUCACUGGACCAGGUCGGCCACGCCCCAUCCAGCCACACCUCGCUCCCGCCCCGCCCCUAGCUCCCUUAGUCCUGUCAUCACCACCCGCGCCCCGCCUCCGGCGCUCACUGUCUGUCCCCCAUCACUUUAGCCCCGCCCCCGACUUCCCCAACUUCACCCCAUGCAAUCCCGGUCUGUCCCGCAGCCGCCUAAGUCCCUCCUCUCGCCUCCACAACCCUAAGGUCAACCGGACAGCCUUCUCCUGACCUCUCAUCACUCCGCCAGGGCCCCGCCCCCACUGUGUCCUCCAGCCCCGCAGCGUCCAGUCCUUUCCUUAGAGGCCCGCCAUUCCCAGGUCAGGCCCUUCAGCGCCAGACACCUCGUGUGCUCCCGGGGGUUGGGGGCCGGCUCAGGCCUGGACUGAGCUUUGAGUAUAGGACAGUGGUGACCAGGACCCUCCUCACUCCACCGGCUUGACGUGACUGCACCCAGUGAGCCCCGCACAGAGACCCCUUCUGGGGCUUGGGGUCCUGUGCCCUCCCUCACAUACCCCUCCCCAGGGGAUCGAGUCUGCAACCCAGGCGUAUGCCCUUGACCAGAAUCGAACCCAGGACCCUCAGUCCGCAAGCCUACGCCCUAUCUGCUGCACCAAACUGGCCAAGGCUGCAAUGCUUUUUGUAAAUACUUUUAAUAACGUCCCUGCCUGCUGUCAGGUUGUGGUUUCUCACUGCUGUUAUUCUGACUGCCUGUAAUCUACUUUUUGCUGCUUCAGAUGUAUUGCUUCUAACUUGCUGUAGGCAGGAAACCAUAGUCCCAAAGUUAUUAGAACUCUAUGUAAAGUAAGAUUUUUAAAAAUUGGUAAAAUAAAUAGGUUCUGAGUAAGUGUUCCUGUGGACAAAGUACAUGGGCCUUCGUCGGUGUUUGCUUUAGGCGACCUUUCUGUGCUCAGGUGGCCCCUGUGCACAGCUUGUCACCCUGGCUGUCAUCCCUGAUGCACUAACCUGCAGGUCCCCGAGGACGGGCACCAUGACUUGCUCAUCUUUGUGUCUGCAGUGCCUGCCACAUAGUAGGAACUCACUGUAUUUCGAAUGAAUGAGUGGACCUGUGGCGGCGUCUCUUUUGGCAGAGUGGACGCCUUGCUCUGCUUUGCUGCAGUCCUGACUGGGGGCAGCGUCCCCCCUAGGCGGGAGAGGGUCCCAGAGAGAUGAGGUAAACCUGUGUCUAGUUGGAACGCCCCUUAGUCUAAUGGGGAGGCACAGUCCCUCCCCGUGGGAUAAGCCGCCGGAGUUGCUGGCGGUGUUGAUGCUGACAUCCCUCACUCUGUAGGAGAGCU